GAUGAACGCUAGCGGCAGGCCUAACACAUGCAAGUCGAGGGGCAUCGCGGUGCAGCAAUGCACUGGCGGCGACCGGCGUACGGGUGCGUAACGCGUAUGCAACCUGCCCCGCACCGGGGGAUAGCCCGCCGAAAGGCGGAUUAAUACCCCAUGGUCCCGGGGGCCCGCAUGGGCAUCCGGGUAAAGCCUUGGCGGUGCGGGAUGGGCAUGCGUGCCAUUAGCUGGCUGGUGGGGUAACGGCCCACCAGGGCAACGAUGGCUAGGGGGUCUGAGAGGAUGGUCCCCCACACUGGUACUGAGACACGGACCAGACUCCUACGGGAGGCAGCAGUGAGGAAUAUUGGUCAAUGGGCGGAAGCCUGAACCAGCCAUCCCGCGUGAAGGAAGACAGCCUUACGGGUUGUAAACUUCUUUUCUGUCAGAAGAAUAAGCUUGUCGAGACGAGUGAUGCCGGUAUGACAGGAAUAAGCAUCGGCUAACUCCGUG
rnacentral:rRNA from 1 species